CCAAUUAAAAAGCUUGGAAUAGAACGUCGACGCUCCUCUUAACACGUUAGCUAGCUGUGCUGCUACCCGGUAAGAUGCUAGCAUUGGUCCUCCUCUUGCUUUGUUGAGAACGGUUUGGUGCCCCCUACGUACUUGACUGCACACCGACAUGGCUGAUUUGCCAUAUGUGGCCUCUGGCACAAGAAAAGGUGCAAGAUCAAUCUUAGAACAUCCAAAACUGAGAGCCACUUGUCACGCUCCAGGUUAUUUCACCUCUAAGACACAAGUCAAGGCAUCUCAAGGGGAGGACGACAUGGGAUGGACUGGUAAGUUGUACUGUGAUUGGUAGGUAGGUAGGUAGAAUAUUGGUAGGGUUCGGCAGUUCCGAUUCUUUGUUUCUAUGCCAGUUCCUAAUAAUUCUUGAUUCUGAAGGGUUAGGGUCUGCUAGAUUAAGGGUCAUAAAAGUUUGCAUGGUUUAAAUGAGGGCUCUAACCUGAAUUCUUUUUGAAUGAGAUGUCUGAACUUCUCUGUGAAUUUAACAUGACUCCAUGCCCAACCUCUAAACCUUGGUAAUAAUGAGCACAGAGGCUAAAGAAUAUUUGUUUGUAAAUUAUAUGAUUUAUCAGAGUACAGAUCAUUGUCUUGGGAUCAGUAGGUUGAUAUUAAAUUCUGAGGGGAUGUGGAAAAUGUCUAUUCAUCAAAAUUGGGUGUAGUACUUCAAUGCAGCCAGUAGAGGUGCUGUGUAUCUGCAGUCCAAAUUUUAGCUACAUGCUGGCAGACUUUUGUGGGAAAAAAUGCAUGCCUCUAUGGUUUCUAAAACUGUAUUUAAAAUGUUAUAGUAAUCAAAACAUAUUGCCACCCCUGAAAAUUGUCUUCAAGCAUGUCUGUUUUUUGUUUACCCCAACAUUUUAAAGAUAUAUUUAAGGGGAAAAAUCACAUUAACACUGCCAACAUUUAUUUAUUGUGCAGUUCCAAAAAUAAAAGAAUGUCCACAUACAAGCGUCUCCUUGUGUCUUUCCGCCUAUAGAUGGCAGUAGCAACGCACACUAGAGCUGCUCUCUUUUUGGUGAUGAAAUAUUCCUGGGGAUUUCUUCCUAAAACUGCUGGAACAAGGAGGUCGAUGUUACUCAUCUAAUUAUACUCACUUGUCUCUACAGUGCGUUUUAAGCCAGCGGGGUAAAAAUAUGUAUAUGAAUGGGGUCAUUGUGUUUUCAGUGAAAGAGAGCGAGUCCACAGAGUGUCUUUUGGAAGCCAAAUAGAGUGGUAAUUAUUUUCCUGUCCGUCUGCAGCUGUUUUUCUCUCCGCUCUCAGGCUUGACGUUGCCAGGAAACGAGAGAAGGCUACAUUCUCUAGAAUGAAAAAUACACAACACCGCCCACAAAGUAGAGAGUGGAUACUGUGUGCAAGAUGUCCCACUUUCCAUGAAGUCAUGCAUACGGUCUUGCAGAGUCAUUGACUUGUGUGCAUGUGCACAGGAAGUGAUUUGUUGUUUGUGUCCUUGGGGCAGGGAAAAUAUGGUCUAGAAGAGUUGGAAAUUACAACAGGAACCCCUUUUCUCUCUACUUGACACUUUGUAAACAUUUACCACUUAUCCUGUUGGCUUGAGAGAGCUGAAGGAUACCCAGCUGGCACCGGCUGUGUCACAGAAGAAAUACACCACUCACAUUUCAGCAACCAUUUCUAUUGCUUUCUUAAAGGACAAUACUGACAAUGUGCAAGUGUGAUAUAACUAAUAGUCUGUCAACUAUUUGGAUUUACUGUCAUUGAAUGAGACCAAUUGCUAUUUUCUUGAAUCCUCUUGCAUUAUGAACUCACUAGUGGAAUUUCGGAAAUUAUGUUAGUGAGUAAACCUGACUGGAAUGGACUAAAGUAAUUGAAAAUGUACCUACCGCUUGCAGUUCAUGCAAGACACUGUUUUAUUGACAGCUCCUCCACAAAAUAGGCAGCCCUCUUCACAGAAAGUUGUGUGCUGCAGUGAAAUGUGUCCAAGC